GUGAGGAAUAUUAGUCUAUGGGCGAGAGCCUGAACCAGCCAAGUCGCGUGAAGGAAGAAGGAUCUAUGGUUCGUAAACUUCUUUUGCAGGGGAAUAAAGUGCGGGACGUGUCCUGUUUUGUAUGUACCCUGAGAAUAAGGAUCGGCUAACUCCGUGCCAGCAGCCGCGGUAAUACGGAGGAUCCGAGCGUUAUCCGGAUUUAUUGGGUUUAAAGGGUGCGUAGGUGGUUUGAUAAGUCAGCGGUGAAAGUUUGCAGCUUAACUGUAAAAAUGCCGUUGAAACUGUCGGACUUGAGUGUAAAUGAGGUAGGCGGAAUGCGUGGUGUAGCGGUGAAAUGCAUAGAUAUCACGCAGAACUCCGAUUGCGAAGGCAGCUUACUAAGCUACAACUGACACUGAAGCACGAAAGCGUGGGGAUCAAACAGGAUUAGAAACCCCUGUAGUCC
rnacentral:rRNA from 1 species